GAUGAACGCUAGCGGGAGGCCUAACACAUGCCAGCCGAGCGGUAUUGUUUCUUCGGAAAUAAGAGAGCGGCGUACGGGUGCGUAACACGUGUGCAACCUGCCUUUAUCUGGGGGAUAGCCUUUCGAAAGGAAGAUUAAUACUCCAUAAUAUAUUGAACGGCAUCGUUUAAUAUUGAAAGCUCCGGCGGAUAGAGAUGGGCACGCGCAAGAUUAGCUAGUUGGUGAGGUAACGGCUCACCAAGGCGAUGAUCUUUAGGGGGCCUGAGAGGGUGAUCCCCCACACUGGUACUGAGACACGGACCAGACUCCUACGGGAGGCAGCAGUGAGGAAUAUUGGUCAAUGGGUGCAAGCCUGAACCAGCCAUCCCGCGUGAAGGACGACUGCCCUAUGGGUUGUAAACUUCUUUUGUAUAGGGAUAAACCUACCCUCGUGAGGGUAGCUGAAGGUACUAUACGAAUAAGCACCGGCUAACUCCGUG
rnacentral:rRNA from 1 species